rnacentral:rRNA from 1 species
UACGUAGGGGGCAAGCGUUGUCCGGAUUUAUUGGGCGUAAAGAGCGUGUAGGCGGUCAGAUAGGUCCGUUGUGAAAACUCGAGGCUCAACCUCGAGACGCCGAUGGAAACCAUCUGACUAGAGUCCGGAAGAGGAGAGUGGAAUUCCUGGUGUAGCGGUGAAAUGCGCAGAUAUCAGGAAGAACACCCGUGGCUAAGGCGGCUCUCUAGUACGGUACUGACGCUGAGACGCGAAAAGCGUGGGGAGCGAACAGG